rnacentral:lncRNA from 1 species
GGCUGUUAGCCUGCCAAGAGAGCCAUGGUGAACAACAAGAAAAUCUCCAGAUGUGCAAAAGGUUUCUGUGCUACACAGUCCAUAGGAGGAAAAUAACAAAACGUUCAGAAUAAAGAAGACCUCAUUUCCACAAGCAGUUUACAAAUCUGGAAGAACCGUAUACAGUUUAAAAAGGAGGAGAUGCAUUCCUCAUGCCUCCCUGAGUCCAUUUCUGGGAGCCAUCUGCAGUCAUUUUUACAGUAAUAAAGGGUUGUAUUCAGAAUUGCUGAAAGCAGAUUUGUCUAGAUGUGUCUGUGCCCAGGGUUAACCAGUGCUUUGAAAAAGAGUGUAGACCUUCAGGGAUGGAUGUGACGCUUCUUCUCUCCACACCUUGCAUACAAGCUCAAAGGUUUGUGUAACAGCUGACACCAGCUCCAACUUCCUGUUUGACUUAGCCUGCAUAUUGUCUGGAGCAAGGAUUAAGAUCCUGAAUCAUCUUUUACCCCCCACUCUCAGACCUGAGAAAAUGUCCUGUUAUGCCAAAGGAAUAGCACUGAAGAACAUUUGAAUCAUUAUGUUUCCCUUUCCCAGUUUUUGCCAACUGUUAAUUACCAAUGAUGUUAAAAAUAACUAAUCAUCGGUAUGCAGGAAGGCAGUGACAUUUAAAAGUGAUGCUGAAGGGCCAUGAACCGAAUGACUUUUGACUGUUACCAUGUAAUAGUUAUGUUCUCAUGUAAUGUGAUUUUUAUAAUGGGAGCUAAAAAACAUUUUCUAUAAAGUAUAACAAUUGCUGCCACUAGAACUAAUGACAAAAUCUACUCAGUUGCCUCUAGGGGGAGGAGGAAAACAAAACCUCUUUCCCUAGAGUCUUUAAUGGAGGUCUGAUUCUGAAAUUUUUACACCAACAUCAAUCACCGUACACAACAUAUUUUCUGGUUUCGUUCUUUCCUGAUUGCAGUUCUGGAUAAGUGAGAUUGGUUUCGUGUUGAACUCAUAAACCAGAAUUUAUACUUUUCUGCCUAGAUAACUCAGAAGUAUUAAGUAUCAAAGUCUACCAGCAGAUUUUCAUGGCUCAAUGUUGCCAUCGCACAAAAUUUCAGCUUAGAAACAUAUUAGUCUUAAACAUAAGUCAUGAGUGCUCUUAAGCUUUCCUGGUAUGAAGAGAAUAAAGCUUUUUUCUCUUCCUUAUGCA